rnacentral:rRNA from 1 species
UACAGAGGUCUCAAGCGUUGUUCGGAUUCAUUGGGCGUAAAGGGUGCGUAGGUGGCGCGCUAAGUCAGGUGUGAAAUUUCGGAGCUUAACUCCGAAACUGCAUUUGAUACUGGCGUGCUUAAGGACUGGAGAGGAGACUGGAAUUCAUGGUGUAGCAGUGAAAUGCGUAGAGAUCAUGAGGAAGACCAGUGGCGAAGGCGGGUCUCUGGACAGUUCCUGACACUGAGGCACGAAGGCCAGGGGAGCAAACGGG